rnacentral:rRNA from 1 species
AAAUUUAAGAGUUUGAUCCUGGCUCAGAACGAACGCUGGCGGCAGGCCUAACACAUGCAAGUCGAACGCACUCUUCGGAGUGAGUGGCAGACGGGUGAGUAACGCGUGGGAAUCUACCUAGUGGUGGGGGAUAACUUCGGGAAACCGGAGCUAAUACCCCAUAAGCCCUUCGGGGGAAAGUUUUUCGCCAUUAGAUGAGCCCGCGUUAGAUUAGCUAGUUGGUAGGGUAAUGGCCUACCAAGGCGACGAUCUAUAGCUGGUCUGAGAGGAUGAUCAGCCACACUGGGACUGAGACACGGCCCAGACUCCUACGGGAGGCAGCAGUGGGGAAUAUUGGACAAUGGGCGCAAGCCUGAUGCAGCCAUGCCGCGUGUGUGAU